rnacentral:rRNA from 1 species
CCUACGGGUGGCAGCAGUGAGGAAUAUUGGUCAAUGGUCGGGAGACUGAACCAGCCAAGCCGCGUGAGGGAUGAAGGUACAGAGUAUCGUAAACCUCUUUUGUCAGGGAACAAAGGCGGGGACGUGUCCCCGGAUGAGUGUACCUGAAGAAAAAGCAUCGGCUAACUCCGUGCCAGCAGCCGCGGUAAUACGGAGGAUGCGAGCGUUAUCCGGAUUUAUUGGGUUUAAAGGGGGCGCAGGCGGUCUGUUAAGUCAGCGGUAAAAGCCCGGGGCUCAACCCCGGCCCGCCGUUGAAACUGGCAGUCUCGAGUGGGAGAGAAGUAUGCGGAAUGCGCGGUGGAGCGGUGAAAUGCAUAGAGAUCGCGCAGAACUCCGAUUGCGAAGGCAGCAUGCCGGCUCCACACUGACGCUGAGGCACGAAAGCGUGGGUAUCGAACAGGAUUAGAUACCCUUGUAGUC